AUUGAACGCUGGCGGCAGGCCUAACACAUGCAAGUCGAACGAGGGGCGGACGGGUGAGUAAUGUCUGGGAAACUGCCUGAUGGCGGGGGAUAACUACUGGAAACGGUAGCUAAUACCGCAUACCAUCAGAUGUGCCCAGAUGGGAUUGGCUUGUUGGUGGGGGAACGGUUCACCAGGGCGACGAUCCCUAUCUGGUCUGAGAGGAUGACACACCACACUGGAACUGGGGCACAGUCCGAUCUCCUACGGGAGGCAGCAGUGGAGAAUAUUGCACAAUAUGCGCAAGCCGGAUGCAGCCAGGCCGCGUAGAGGAAGGAGGCCUUCGGUUUGUAAAGGACUUUCAGCGGGGAGGCGUUACCCGCAGAAGAGUCACCGGCAAACUCCGUGCCAGCAGCCGCGGUAAUAC
rnacentral:rRNA from 1 species